rnacentral:rRNA from 1 species
UACGUAGGGGGCAAGCGUUGUCCGGAAUUAUUGGGCGUAAAGAGCGCGUAGGCGGUCCGGUAAGUCGGCUGUGAAAGUCAAGGGCUCAACCCUUGAAAGCCGGCCGAUACUGUCGGACUAGAGUCCGGAAGAGGCGAGUGGAAUUCCCGGUGUAGCGGUGAAAUGCGCAGAUAUCGGGAGGAACACCAAUGGCGAAGGCAGCUCGCUGGGACGUCACUGACGCUGAGGCGCGAAAGCGUGGGGAGCGAACAGG